GCCAGUAUUAGCCAGAUACUCAAAUUUGAUCCAUAUUUUCAGUUUUGCUUGGUUCGUUUAGUUACAACUCUUCUUGGUGUGUUUAUUACUCUAAAAAUAUGGAUCCUGUUAAAGUAGCUUGUGGUCCCUUGGUUGCUACUUUGUACGGUGGCACAAGAAUUCAUCUUUCCAUAGGAUUAUAGGGCGAUCACCUUAUAAAGCUUUGUUUGGCGUGGAUUUUCAGGUUGGGCUUUAUUCAAGUAGCUUACCGCAUGAAACAGUUAAAAGCAUUUCAACAGAAGAGGAUUUAGAAGAUAUGAUGAAGGAAAAUUCAGUAGACAGCUUCGAGGAAAGCGACAUUAUCGAUAUUUUCGUGAGAGAAGAAGGUCCUUGUAAUGGGCAUCAAAGUAUUUCCGAACUGGUAGUAAUGGAUCAGGACAGUGUCGAAGAGUAUAAUUAUAUGGACGGUCAUGUUAUUUUACAGACAACGCAUGAAAUAAAUCAGGUUGAAGAAUUUCCAAGUUUUUUGGGUAAUGGGUUAACUUCGGGGUCAACGAUUAUUAACUGUAUAACCGAAAAUGAAAAUGUUUUUAAUAAAGAAAAUAAGGCAAAACGAAAACUGUGCUUAUCCUGUGAUGAAAGCGAAGCGAUAUGCAAUUUUUGUGAAAAGGAAGAAUUAAUAAAAACACAAAUAACACAAUGUACAAUUGGCCAAAAACGUGCAGCUGACCAAAUGGCCCAAAUAACUAAAAUAAAAUGUAAGGAUUUGCAAGUGGGAAAGUAUAUAUCUGUGGAAGUUCCAAAAUUUGAUAGGGGUCCCCUUGACUCAAAAGGGGUACUAGAAAAUAUUCUGGACAUACAAAAUUGGGUAUACCAGAUAGGUACAGCCUUAAUCGAUGGUUUUCCAUAGACGAAUUUAAUCCCUUUGUCACACCAGAUGUUAAUAUCUUUCUAAGGGAAGCCGUUUCUAAGGUUUCGCAAUUUGGAGGACAAGGUUUUAAGAAAUGUCAGUGCAAACCUAGUAAGCUCUUAGAGAUGCCUUUGUUUUAGGGCUCGCGGAAAAUGUACCAGUAGGUGCAUUUUAGUGGUCCAUGUUCCAGUAAAUGAACUUGUUUUUCAUCAACGCUUAUUUUGUUUUUUUUUUUUUAAAUUUAAGUAUGCUUAUGUAUACAUAAUACAUAAUAAGAAUAUUAAAUGUUUAUUUAUUUUUGUAUUUUUAGUAUUUUUUAUUAAUAAAUAAUAAAUUUUUA